AGGUUAAGUGAAUAAGGGCGCACGGUGGAUGCCUUGGCACUAGGAGCCGAUGAAGGACGGGACUAACACCGAUAUGCUUUGGGGAGCUGUAAGUAAGCUAUGAUCCAGAGAUUUCCGAAUGGGGGAACCCAGCAUCUUUUAUAGGAUGUUACGUCUGCGUGAAUACAUAGCGCAGUCGAGGUAGACGCAGAGAACUGAAACAUCUAAGUACCUGCAGGAAGAGAAAGAAAAUUCGAUUCCCUGAGUAGCGGCGAGCGAAACGGGAAAAGCCCAAACCAACAAGCUUGCUUGUUGGGGUUGUAGGACUCCGAUAUGGUAGUCUAUUCAGAUAGUCGAAAUACUUGGAAAAGUAUGUCAAAGAGGGUAAAAACCCCGUAGGCGAAAUUUGGAUAACACCUAGGAGGAUCCUGAGUACGGCGGAACACGAG
rnacentral:rRNA from 1 species